AAUAGAAAUAGCAACAUCAUUCCCAAGAUUCAUCCUUUUCUUGAAAUCACUCAUACUGAAACAUUUCUCCUUGUAGUUAAACGGCAGGGUUUCAAUAUUUGGAGCUCUACGUUCUUUAACUAUUUUGUAAGUAAUACUCAAAACUCAAUUAUUUCCCAAGUCGAAUGUUAUCAUCUUAUUAUUCUCAUCCAAAUAUCAGCAAAAGUAGCACCCUUAACACCACCAAAAAAUCUCAGUGAAAGAUCAUAUUCAUACUUCACUCAUGACGUUUCCGACGAAUGAGAGCCGUAACACAAUCAUUUGACAAAGGAGAAGAAGUAAAUGCAGCAGAACCUUUAGAAAUUUCUGAUUCUUGAAACAGGGGAAGGUCAAUAGAGAAAGGACAGAAGAAGCAAAUGAGACCCUUUUGGGAUAACAGUAAACAACCAUGACUCG
rnacentral:lncRNA from 1 species